rnacentral:siRNA from 1 species
UAGUCAUAUGGUUUCUCGUGGC